CGAGUUAGCCAGACAAUCGCUGCUUGAUUCACUUCGGUGUUUUCAAGGGGAGGAAAGUCCGGGCUCCAAAGAGCAGGGUGCCAGAUAACGUCUGGGCGGUGUAAUGCCGACGACAAGUGCAGCAGAGAGAAGACCGCCGAUGACUUCUUCGGAAGAACAGGUAAGGCUGAAAGGGUGCGGUAAGAGCGCACCGGGCGACUAGUAAUAGUUCGUUGCAGGGUAAACUCCACCCGGAGCAAGACCAAAUAGGGUUUCAUAUGGCGUGGCUCGCGUUGAAACCGGGUAGGUUGCUUGAGCCUUAGAGUGAUUUAAGGCCUAGACGAAUGAUUGUCACUUUUCCUAGGAAGAGUACAGAACCCGGCUUAUCGGCUAACUCACAUA
rnacentral:RNase_P_RNA from 1 species